UACGGAGGGGGCUAGCGUUGUUCGGAAUUACUGGGCGUAAAGCGCACGUAGGCGGCUUUGUAAGUUAGAGGUGAAAGCCCGGAGCUCAACUCCGGAAUUGCCUUUAAGACUGCAUCGCUUGAAUCAUGGAGAGGUGAGUGGAAUUCCGAGUGUAGAGGUGAAAUUCGUAGAUAUUCGCAAGAACACCAGUGGCGAAGGCGGCUCACUGGGCCCGAUACUGACGCUGAGGUGCGAAAAGCGUGGGGAGCAAACAGGAUUAGAUACCCCUG
rnacentral:rRNA from 1 species